GAUGAAGAACGCAGCGAAACGCGAUAAGUAAUGUGAAUUGCAGAAUCCAGUGAAUCAUCGAAUCUUUGAACACACAUUGCGCCCGCCAGCAUUCUGGCGGGCAUGCCUGUUCGAGCGUCAUUUCAACCCUCGACCUCCCCUUGGGGAGGUCGGCGUUGGGGACCGGCAGCACACCGCCGGCCCUGAAAUGGAGUGGCGGCCCGUCCGCGGCGACCUCUGCGCAGUAAUUCAGCUCGCACCGGGACCCCGACGCGGCCACGCCGUAAAACACCCAACUUCUGAACGUUGACCUCGAAUCAGGUAGGACUACCCGCUGAACUUAAGCAUAUCAAUAAGCGGAGGA
rnacentral:misc_RNA from 1 species